rnacentral:rRNA from 1 species
GUGAGGGAGCCUGAGAAACGGCUACCACAUCCACGGUAGGCAGCAGGCGCGUAAAUUACCCAAUCCUGACUCAGGGAGGUAGUCACGAGAAAUCUUAGAUCGGCCCAAGUUGGCUGAAUACAUGAUGGAUUAAAUAUAGACCAUUUUUUGAAAUCAAUUGGAGGGCAAGUCUCGGUGCCAGCAGCCGCGGUAACUCCAGCUCCAAUAGUGUAUAUUAACGUUGCUGCAGUUAAAAAGCUCGUAGUUGAAUUUCUGGGGGGCUGUCUUUCCUAAGGGAUCGUUCGGCUACCUCAUCCGCGCCGGAAGGCACUACAGUCUUACUUAGUGUUGGAUGCGUGUUUCACUUUGAAGAAAUUAGAGUGUUCCAGGCAGGCUUUGCUUGAAUACAUCAGCAUGGAAUAAUGGAAUAGGACAGGUCAUUUUUAUUGGUUAUAUGACUUGUAAUGAUUAACAGGGACAGUUGGGGGCGUUUGUAUUCAAUAGUCAGAGGUGAAAUUCUUGGAUUUGUUGAAGACAAACUAAUGCGAAAGCAUUCGCCAAGGAUGUUUUCAUUAAUCAAGAACGAAAGUUAGGGGAUCAAAGACGAUUAGAUACCGUCGUAGUCCUAACCAUAAACUAUACCGACUAGGGAUUGGCAAGGGGAGUGACUCUUGUCAGCACCUAAUGAGAAAUCAAAGUCUUUGGUUUCUGGGGGGAGUAUGGUCGCAAGGCUGAAACUUAAAGGAAUUGACGGAAGGGCACCACCAGGAGUGGAGCCUGCGGCUUAAUUUGACUCAACACGGGGAAACUUACCAGGGCAAGACCUGAGUAUGAUUGACAGAUUGAUAGCUUUUUCUUGAUAACGGGGAUGGUGGUGCAUGGCCGUUCUUAGUUGGUGGAGUGAUUUGUCCGGUUAAUUCCCUUAACAAACGAGACCUUAACCUGCUAAACUAGGAGCCGUUAUUUCUAGCGGUAUCCUUCUUAGAGGGACUAUGUGAUUUAAACACAUGGAAGUUUGAGGCAAUAACAGGUCCGUGAUGCCCUUAGAAGUCCUGGGCCGCACGCGUGCUACACUGAUGAGCGCAACAAGUACUACCUGACUCGAAAGAGGAAUGGGAAAUCUUUGCAAUACUCAUCGUGCUAGGGAUUGAUCUUUGCAAUUUUGGAUCAUGAACGAGGAAUUCCUAGUAAGCAUAAGUCAUCAUCUUGUGCUGAUUACGUCCCUGCCCUUUGUACACUCCGCCCGUCGCUCCUACCGAUUGAGUGAUCCAAUGAACUUUCUGGACAAUUGACAUCCGUCGUAUUGGAAGUUAAGCAAAUUUUAUCACUUAGAGGAAGGAGAAGUCGUAACAAGGUU